UACGGAGGGUGCAAACGUUGUCCGGAAUCACUGGGCGUAAAGCGCAUGUAGGUGGUUUAUUAAGUGAACGAUUAAAGACCGACGCCUAACGUCGGGAAGGUUGUUCAUACUGGUAGACUUGAGUAUGGCAGGGGUAAGCGGAACUUUAGGUGUAGGAGUGAAAUCCGUAGAUAUCUAAAGGAACACCAAUGGCGAAGGCAGCUUACUGGGCCAUUACUGACACUGAGAUGCGAAAGUGUGGGGAGCAAACGGG
rnacentral:rRNA from 1 species